rnacentral:rRNA from 1 species
GAUGAACGCUGGCGGCGUGCUUUAUGCAUGCAAGUCGAACGGUCCCGAUUUAUCGGGACAGUGGCGAAUGGGUGAGUAACGCGUAAGUAACCUGCCCUUAAGUGGGGGAUAACCCUGGGAAACUGGGGCUAAUACCGCAUGUGGUGGUAGGGUGAUGCUCUAUCACUAAAGCCUUCGGGUGCUUAAGGAGGGGCUUGCGUCCGAUUAGCUAGUGGGUAGGGUAAUGGCCUACCAAGGCAGUGAUCGGUAGCUAGUCUGAGAGGACGGUCAGCCACACUGGGACUGAGACACGGCCCAGACUCCUACGGGAGGCAGCAGCAAGGAAUUUUGUGCAAUGGGCGAAAGCCUGACACAGCGACGCCGCGUGGGGGAUGAAGGCCUUCGGGUUGUAAACCCCUUUUCUCAGGGAAGAAUAAUGACGGUACCUGAGGAAUAAGUCUCGGCUAACUACGUGCCAGCAGCCGCGGUAAUACGUAGGAGGCAAGCGUUAUCCGGAAUUACUGGGCGUAAAGGGCGCGCAGGCGGCUUUUCAAGUCGGGUGUAAAAUCUUCUCGCUCAACGAGAAGGGAUCAUCCGAUACUGUCGAGCUAGAGAACAGCAGAGGGAGGCGGAAUUCCCGGUGGAGUGGUGAUAUGCGUAGAUAUCGGGAAGAACACCGGCGGCGAAGGCGGCCUCCUGGGCUGUUUCUGACGCUGAGGCGCGAAAGCGUGGGGAGCGAACAGGAUUAGAUACCCUGGUAGUCCACGCCGUAAACGAUGGACACUAGGUAUAGGGAGUAUCGACCCUCUCUGUGCCGUAGCUAACGCGUUAAGUGUCCCGCCUGGGGACUACGGCCGCAAGGCUA